GCUUUUCGUGGAUUGUUAAUGCGGGUAUGAACCUGCAAGACAAAAGAAAAAACACUAGAUGGGUUACCUUAAACAACCUCUCCUAUACUUAAGUCGGUGAUUGGAACUGAGAUUGAAAAUAAUUGACUAGAGAGAAUUGCGUACCUAACUAUGGAGGCUUGAGCCCCUUAUAUAGGCAUCAAGUAGACUCUUAUUUGGAUGAUGAGAAUGAUUAUAGUGAUUAUAGUAGGUUUCUAUCUUAGAGGAAGUCCAAUUAUAGUGGGAUUAAGAAUCUAGAUAAAUAGAGAUGCUGAUUCUCAGUGAAUAAUAUUUAUAUUUUGGACUGCUAUUGUAUCAUUUAUUUGCACCGCACAUUUUUUUUUACUGAUAUUGGAAGAGAUAUAUUCUAAGGGGCUCCCUUUAUUUUAUAGGUGGUUUUGAGCCUUAAAUACAGAGUUUGGGUUGUGGGUUUUCCUUAUUGUUGACUGCUGCUAUAAUAGUUUUUAUUUUAAAAAACUGAGAUUUUAGAUGGACCUUUCUUUGUGACUUUCCUUUAUCAGAUCUUCUAAAUGCUACUACAUAUGUGUAAAUGAUA
rnacentral:misc_RNA from 1 species